GCUUACGGCCACACCGCCUGGUUCACGCCCGAUCUCGUUUGAUCUCGGAAGCUAAGAUAGGUUGGGCCUGGUUAGUACUUGGAUGGGAGACCGCCUGGGAAUACCAGGUUUUAGCU
rnacentral:rRNA from 1 species